rnacentral:rRNA from 1 species
UGGGGAAUAUUGGACAAUGGGCGAAAGCCUGAUCCAGCCAUGCCGCGUGUGUGAAGAAGGUCUUCGGUUUGUAAAGCACUUUAAGUUGGGAGGAAGGGCAGUAAGCGAAUACCUUGCUGUUUUGACGUUACCGACAGAAUAAGCACCGGCUAACUCUGUGCCAGCAGCCGCGGUAAUACAGAGGGUGCAAGCGUUAAUCGGAAUUACUGGGCGUAAAGCGCGCGUAGGUGGUUCGUUAAGUUGAAUGUGAAAGCCCCGGGCUCAACCUGGGAACUGCAUCCAAAACUGGCGAGCUGGAGUAUGGCAGAGGGUGGUGGAAUUUCCUGUGUAGCGGUGAAAUGCGUAGAUAUAGGAAGGAACACCAGUGGCGAAGGCGACCGCCUGGGCUCAUACUGACACUGAGGUGCGAAAGCGUGGGGAGCAAACAGG